UAAAAAACUAAAGUGGAUAUCACAAAAUCCUUUAAUUGCUGUUAAGAUUUAAGAAAAAUAAUCAGGAGCAAAUAUUUUUUUGAUACAAAAUCAGCAGAGAACACAGCAAAACAAAGCAGAAAAAGUACUGGAAAAGAAAGAAAAAAGCAGAACUGGAAAAGAAAGAAAAAGGCAGAAAUGAAAACAGAGCAUAUAUAGCAGCAAACCAGAGCAAAAAAAAUCAGCAAAACAGAGCAGAAUAACAAAGAAGAAGAAAAGCAGAGCAGAACCCUAGAAUUCGAGAAAGAAAAAACAGAACAAAUGUGAAGAAAAAAAGAGAGCUUGAAAGAAGAAGAAGAAACAGAAGAAGAAAGAAAGAAAGAAAGAAGAAAAGCAGAGCAGAACCCUAGAAUUCGAGAAAAAAUAGAGCAAAUGUGGAGAAAAAAACAGAGCAAAGAAGAGAGCUUGAAAGAAGAAGACGACGACAAAGAAGAAGAAGAAGAAGAAGAAGAAGAAGAAGAAAGAAAGAAAGAAAUUACCUGAAAGUGGAGAAGAAGAGCUGCUGCAAAACCCUAGCUGAUUGUGCGAAAUAAAAUUUCUCAAAGUCGCGCUGAGGAUUUCAAAUAACUGGACUAAUUAUUUUAUUAAAAUUGACCCAGACUUAUUAUUUUAUUAAGAUUUUGACCUGGACGUAUUAUUUUAUUAAACUUUUGACCUGGACUUAUUAUUUUAUUAAAGUUGACCUUUCAAAAAACAGCCCACAACAUAAAAGCGUACGCUUCAGCCGCUUCACCGCUUCAUUCUCAGAAGCGUCCGCUUAAUUAGGUAGCCUCCGCUCCACUUACCUGAAGCGACAAAGCUUCGCUUCACCGCUUUAAGCAAAGCGUAGCGGUGAAGCGCCCGCUUUCCUGAACACUGUUUGCGGAUGACAUAGUCCUGAUUGACGAGACUCGCAAUGGAGUUGACGAUAAGCUGGAGGGCUGGAGACAGAUGUUGGAGUCUAAAGGAUUUAAAUUGAGUAGGACCAAGACAGAAUACUUGGAGUGCAGGUUCAGUGGCCUACCGCGUGAGGCUAACGGGGAAGUGAGGCUUGGUACCCAAGCCAUUCAAAAUAAAGAAAGUUUCAAGUAUCUUGGGUCUAUUAUACAGGGAGAUGGGGAUAUCGACGACGAUGUUUCACAUCGUAUUGGUGCAGGGUGGAUGAAAUGGAGGCUCGCCUCCAAAGUGCUGUGUGAUAAGAAAGUGCCACCAAAACUUAAAGGCAAGUUUUACAAAGUGGUGGUUAGACCGACUUUAUUAUACGGGGUGGAGUGUUGGCCAGUCAAGAAAUUUCACGUUCAGAAGAUGAAAGUCGCAGAAAUGCGAAUGCUGCGGUGGAUGUGUGGGCACACUAGAAAGGAUAGAAUUAGGAAUGAAGAUAUCCGAGACAAGGUGGGAGUGGCAUCAGUGGAGGACAAGAUGCGGGAAGCGAGGCUGAGAUGAUUUGGGCAUGUGAAGAGGAGAGACACAGAUGCUCCAGUGCGGAGGUGUGAGAGGUUGGCUAUGGACGGUUUCAGGAGAGGCAAAGGGAGGCCGAAGAAGUAUUGGGGAGAGGUGAUUAGACAGGAUAUGGCACAGUUUCAGCUCACCGAGGACAUGACCUUAGAUGGGAGGUUGUGGAGGACUCAGAUUAGGAUAGAAGGCUAGGUGGCUUAUCCUUUCACCAUAGUAGUUGUAGUUUUGCUCAUUUGUUUAUUACCAUUUGAUUUCUGCAUUUGAUUGCUGCUUAUAUUUGUUGGGCCGUUGCACUUUGGGUAUCUUAUUUAUCUAUAGUAAUUAAUGCUCAUUUCUUUCCGGACUGUUCUACCAUGACUUUCUCGCUUUUGUUAUUCCUUGUUUUCAUAUUGUUUUCGAUAUGCUUGGUCCUAUCUGACCUUUUGUCUUGUUUUCCUCUCUUGUUCUCCUCUCUUGAGCCGAGGGUCUUUCGGAAACAGCCGCCCUACCUUUCAAGGUUGGGCUAGGUCUGCGUACACUCUACCCUCCCCAGGUGAGAUUAUAUUGAGCUUGUUGUUGUUGUUGCUGCUGCUGCUCCAAUUAAAAGCUUUAUAUCUUUAGUUUGAGGACUAUUCUUUUGGUGCAAUUGCCACUGAAUUUAGGAGGUAUGUUGUUUUCAACGUAAAGUUUAAAUGAUAAAGUGAAAUUUACUCGAAAAUAAAAUAUAAUUGCAUUCUUCCACUUUUGUCGAAGAAAAAGACUACAGCCAAUUCGUCAACGAAAAUAAGCGUAUCCAAUUCAAACAAAGAGACAAAAGGUCAAUUCUUGUCAUCAAUUUGCUCACUAACCUUAAACAAGUGAUCAUUAUCCUUAUUGCUCUCUUUGCUUCUUUUUCUUCUAAAGAAAAAUAAAAUGCUCUCCCCAAAAGAUUUUAAAGGAUUUUAUUUUUCUAACCUGCCAUAUUAUGGUCAUUCGAAACUUCCCCUUUGUAAAAAAUCUAUAUAUAUAAUAUUUCUAGGCAUGAACAAAGUGACGUGACACAUUUUCAUGACUUCUAUUGCUAUUUAUCUUUUUUGUCAAUUUUUUAAGCUUUUUGGUCAUUAUUUUGUCAAAUUCUCUUUUUCCCAGAUUUUUUUUUUCUUUUCAUAAGUACCACUUAUCUGCUACAUUAAGAAGAAACUUAAAUGUCACUUUAAAUUAAUAUGCGUUAUUCCUUAUCUUUGCAUCUUCCACUGCCGGUUACAUUUCCUUUCCAAGCUAAGGAAGGUGUCUUUUAAAAGCUCCUCCGUAUUAGAGAAGUCCAGUUGCCUAGAUCUUUUCCAACUACAAAUACUUAAAAUAAGUUAGUGGUAAGUCGGUCAUUAUCUUUUGUGAGGAGUAACUUGCUUCUCCUUUUUCCUCCAGUUUUCUUUUUCUUUUUCCUUUCUCAUUUCUUUCUUGAUUUUCAUGUAGUAAAGUUUCUAUACCUAUGAAAAAAAAUCAAUGAAUGAUUCCUUGCUGUAAAUUCUAGUCAAUUUGUUAUAGUUUGUGGAGAAAAAAAUGCACCUCUUUUACUUUUGUUAUUAAAGCAAGUGGAAAAUCUAUAUUUACCAUG